rnacentral:rRNA from 1 species
CGCUAGCUACAGGCUUAACACAUGCAAGUCGAGGGGCAGCAUGGUCUUAGCUUGCUAAGGCCGAUGGCGACCGGCGCACGGGUGAGUAACACGUAUCCAACCUGCCGUCUACUCUUGGACAGCCUUCUGAAAGGAAGAUUAAUACAAGAUGGCAUCAUGAGUCCGCAUGUUCACAUGAUUAAAGGUAUUCCGGUAGACGAUGGGGAUGCGUUCCAUUAGAUAGUAGGCGGGGUAACGGCCCACCUAGUCUUCGAUGGAUAGGGGUUCUGAGAGGAAAGUCCCCCACAUUGGAACUGAGACACGGUCCAAACUCCUACGGGAGGCAGCAGUGAGGAAUAUUGGUCAAUGGGCGAGAGUCUGAACCAGCCAAGUAGCGUGAAGGAUGACUGCCCUAUGGGUUGUAAACUUCUUUUAUAAAGGAAUAAAGUCGGGUAUGCAUACCCGUUUGCAUGUACUUUAUGAAUAAGGAUCGGCUAACUCCGUGCCAGCAGCCGCGGUAAUACGGAGGAUCCGAGCGUUAUCCGGAUUUAUUGGGUUUAAAGGGAGCGUAGAUGGAUGUUUAAGUCAGUUGUGAAAGUUUGCGGCUCAACCGUAAAAUUGCAGUUGAUACUGGAUAUCUUGAGUGCAGUUGAGGCAGGCGGAAUUCGUGGUGUAGCGGUGAAAUGCUUAGAUAUCACGAAGAACUCCGAUUGCGAAGGCAGCCUGCUAAGCUGCAACUGACAUUGAGGCUCGAAAGUGUGGGUAUCAAACAGGAUUAGAUACCCUGGUAGUCCACACGGUAAACGAUGAAUACUCGCUGUUUGCGAUAUACAGCAAGCGGCCAAGCGAAAGCGUUAAGUAUUCCACCUGGGGAGUACGCCGGCAACGGUGAAACUCAAAGGAAUUGACGGGGGCCCGCACAAGCGGAGGAACAUGUGGUUUAAUUCGAUGAUACGCGAGGAACCUUACCCGGGCUUAAAUUGCAGAUGAAUUACGGUGAAAGCCGUAAGCCGCAAGGCAUCUGUGAAGGUGCUGCAUGGUUGUCGUCAGCUCGUGCCGUGAGGUAUCGGCUUAAGUGCCAUAACGAGCGCAACCCUUGUUGUCAGUUACUAACAGGUUCUGCUGAGGACUCUGACAAGACUGCCAUCGUAAGAUGUGAGGAAGGUGGGGAUGACGUCAAAUCAGCACGGCCCUUACGUCCGGGGCUACACACGUGUUACAAUGGGGGGUACAGAGGGCCGCUACCACGCGAGUGGAUGCCAAUCCCCAAAACCUCUCUCAGUUCGGACUGGAGUCUGCAACCCGACUCCACGAAGCUGGAUUCGCUAGUAAUCGCGCAUCAGCCACGGCGCGGUGAAUACGUUCCCGGGCCUUGUACACACCGCCCGUCAAGCCAUGGGAGCCGGGGGUACCUGAAGUGCGUAACCGCGAGGAGCGCCCUAGGGUAAAACUGGUGACUGGGGCUAA